AGUGAACGCUGGCGGCAGGCCUAACACAUGCAAAUCGAACGGCAGCACAGGGGAGCUUGCUCCCUGGGUGGCGAGUGGCGGACGGGUGAGGAAUACAUCGGAAUCUACCCUUUCGUGGGGGAUAACGUAGGGAAACUUACGCUAAUACCGCAUACGAUCUGAGGAUGAAAGCAGGGGACCGCAAGGCCUUGCGCGAUUGGAUGAGCCGAUGUCCGAUUAGCUAGUUGGCGGGGUAAAGGCCCACCAAGGCGACGAUCGGUAGCUGGUCUGAGAGGAUGAUCAGCCACACUGGAGCUGAGACACGGUCCAGACUCCUACGGGAGGCAGCAGUGGGGAAUAUUGGACAGUGGGCGCAAGCCUGAUCCAGCCAUGCCGCGUGUGUGAAGAAGGCCUUCGGGUUGUAAAGCACUUUUGUUGGGAAAGAAAUCCUGUCGGCUAAUACCCGGCGGGGAUGACGGUACCCAAAGAAUAAGCACCGGCUAACUUCGUGCCAGCAGCCGCAGUAA
rnacentral:rRNA from 1 species